rnacentral:lncRNA from 1 species
UAUGAAUUAAACUCUGUUUUGAGAUUACUAUGGAUCUUAUUGUGUAGUUUACUUUGAUAUGCUUCUUUGUUAGUCUUAUUAGCUAUAUUUGGAGUGUCUAUUAUGAUUUGGACUUAAUUGCUUAAUUGCCUAGCUAACAAUUACCAUGAUAAUCUAUAUGAACUCGAGAGAUGAAUUAUAGAUUUAGAUCUGAUCAUGAUAGCAUGUGUUUGUGAUUUC